CCAAAGUGGUUCUCGUUCAGGCUCAGGAGUUGUUGGCGUGCAGUGCUGGGAUGCCAGACGCCGUAGGGUGCUGCAACUCGGAUACGGCUGUCGACUGCUUUGCAUUCCUGACGAGAGCCGGCCAACGGCAGUUACCCCUGGCUCAAGAGGGUUGUUGGGAAGGUAGCUUCUCGGUUUACCGGGAAGAACUUACAGCCGGCAACCUGGCAGUCUGGGAGUGACUGAGGAGUGCUGUGACUUUUCACACCCGCAGUACAGGCUCCCUAGGGGGCUGGGUCCCUUCUGUCUGUGUGGGCAACGCCGCAGGGACUGCAUGCAGUGUCUGCGGACGGAUGUGUGCUCAGGUGGGAGGUCGGCCACGUCUUGUGCUGUAGUCGUUGGUACCUGGAUGGCUUCAUUCGACCCGUCUUG
rnacentral:sRNA from 1 species